rnacentral:antisense_RNA from 1 species
GGGCAUCGAGGCUGUGGCGCUUGAUUUCCUUUAAAGUGCCUACCACGCCACCCCCUAUCUGCAAGAAUCCAUCUGAAGAGGUCGCGGGGCAGCGGCUCCGCAGACAGACUGACCUGCGGGGAGGUGCGGUUUCCAGUGGCGCGGGACAAGCCGGCUCCGAGAGGGAACUGGGACCUUUGCCUAGGGCAAGACGUCAACAGGAACCCGCAGGCCCGCCCUGGACACCUGCUUCCCGCACUGGAGGCUUUAACUCCCACUCGAGUCUCUUGGCGUCGUCAGUGCCAGGAGCGCUUGGAUUGGGAUGGGGACGGAGAAAGGUGCCUCGCUCGCCGAGCCCCGCUGCACUUGGGGACCUGGCAAAGUCGAGGUUUCCUCACAGCGUUGAGAUUGAGACUGGGGAUCGGCAGCACUGAGGAGUAAAGGAAUAUUUGGGAGGAUCAGAAGCUUGGUCCUGAUUUUGCCAUCAACCAGGACCUUGAUGACUUCAAGGGAGUCCCCAAACCCUGGGUUUCUGUUUUCUCAACUCUAACAUGAGGGGCUAGACGCAUCUGGUUUAGUUCGUCUCCAUGAUCCUGUGAAUUUCAGAUGUUGAAAAUCUUCAGAAAAGCCCUGAAAGAUGAAGAGUCUUCACCAAACUCCUCCCUCCAGAAUAUUCCUCCAGAAUAUAAAAUGCCUCACCAACAUGAGACAACAGCAGGAAGCACCCAUUUGUAGUAAUCCUCUGUAUGGAGGAGGCUGUUACAUAACCACAAAGGCACAAAGCUGCAGUUUUGAGAACAUCUUCCCACGCCAGUUCUAAGCAUUGACCUCAACUAUGGUUGCUAACACAAGAAUCCGCACUGGUGACUUUUGAGCCAUCAAUCAUCCUUUCCUAACACAUGAUUCUUUUGGAAAAUGGUCUCAAAUAGUCAAGACCCCCUGCUGGGGGGAGCGUCUAUCCUGCUCUGUGGAA